AAUAGUUUUUUGCCACGUCAGCAUUUUCAUCUUGAAUUUCAGCAUUUUUAUCCUUAAAAAAAUCAAAUCCAAAUUAAAAUUCUGAAAUUCAGGAUAAGAAUACUAAUGUGGCAUAAAACCAUU
rnacentral:pre_miRNA from 1 species